rnacentral:rRNA from 1 species
UACGAAGGUGGCAAGCGUUGUUCGGAUUUACUGGGCGUAAAGGGAGCGUAGGUGGUGGGGUAAGCCCCGCGGGAAAGCUCCAGGCUUAACCUGGAAAGGUCGCGGGGGACUGCUCCGCUCGAGGACGGGAGAGGAGCGCGGAAUUCCCGGUGUAGCGGUGAAAUGCGUAGAGAUCGGGAGGAAGGCCGGUGGCGAAAGCGGUCCACUGGGCAACUUCUGACGCUGAGGUGCGAAAGCUAGGGUAGCAAACGGG